GAUGAACGCUGGCGGCGUGCCUAAUACAUGCAAGUAGAACGCUGAAGGAGGAGCUUGCUCUUCUGGAUGAGUUGCGAACGGGUGAGUAACGCGUAGGUAACCUGCCUGGUAGCGGGGGAUAACUAUUGGAAACGAUAGCUAAUACCGCAUGACAACAGUUAUUGCAUGAUAACUGUUUAAAAGGGGCAACUGCUCCACUACCAGAUGGACCUGCGUUGUAUUAGCUAGUUGGUGAGGUAACGGCUCACCAAGGCGACGAUACAUGGCCGACCUGAGAGGGUGAUCGGCCACACUGGGACUGAGACACGGCCCAGACUCCUACGGGAGGCAGCAGUAGGGAAUCUGCGGCAAUGGGCGGAAGUCUGACCGAGCAACGCCGCGUGAGUGAAGAAGGUUUUCGGAUCGUAAAGCUCUGUUGUAAGAGAAGAACGAGUGUGAGAGUGGAAAGUUCACACUGUGACGGUAUCUUACCAGAAAGGGACGGCUAACUACGUG
rnacentral:rRNA from 1 species